AUUAUUAAUUUAAUAUUACAACCAAAGAACGAAAAAUAUUUUCAUGAAAACUUUUUAAUAUUUUUCAUGAAAAAUAUUUUUCAUAUACAAGUCAUUUUUCGUGAAAUAAACAGAGCCUAAAUUAUUAUAAAUUCUCAUUCAACCACCAGUUUAGAUGCUUCCAGCCAGGCAGUUGCUCCAGAGUAAGGAUCUGUCAGGACAAGCUUCAGUCAGCAUGGUCUUCAACCUUCCAGCAUUUAGCUUCUUUUUGAGUUCAGUCUCCUGGGAUUUGGGAAUUUGCUGAUGCACAAAACCAGUGGCAUAAGCAUUCAACUAAUAAAUUAAGAAAAGAUCUUACAACAUUGGAUUUUUUGAAGAGAAAAACUACAACCUUUGUCAACCAUAAAAUGUAAGUAGCAGCAUGUAUCGAUUGUGCUUGAAAAUCCUCAAACUUGUUGUCAGGUAUAGUUGAGCAAGAAUUUACAAGACGUAACUCAUUAUCCAAAAAGAUAUUGACAUCAUCAACUAUGCAGGAAGUGUGCUUGGAUUGGUGAGUUACAUCACCAACAGUAGUUGCAAAAUUCCUUAUCCAGUGCAGGGAAAGGAACCGGCGAUAGAGCCACAGAGCCUGUAAUUCAAGGAUCAGUGAAAUGCAAUUUGAAGUUGACUGUGGUGGCUUAAAGACCAUUUGAAACUUCCCCAUAAAGUCCCUUUUUUUCCUUCUACUGAAGAGAACAAAGGGGGAAAAUUUUUUUCUAAAACUAGUGCAUCGAUAAUGUAUUAUCACAACACAAGGACAGCUAUUGUAAUUGUGAAUUGCAAUGAUGGAAUGCCAGAAAUCCUUCCUGGAUCUACCAAGCAAUACCAAACACAAAUAGAUUUCAAAGAGGUAGCAAUGAAGGUGUUCUUGCCUAUAAAGAAUACUGUGUAUGAAUCAUGAAUAUUCGGGUCAUCCUAUGUACCUCACCCCAAAAAGAAAAAAUAAAAAAGAAGAGAGAGCUAUGGGUUUGAGAGCAAGAGAUACCUCUCUUCCUACAUAAUAUUUAAUUAAAUCUUCAUUCCAGUGAAGCUCUUCCUGUCAUGCAUCCAAGUUAUCAAAAAGUCAAAUAAACCAGGCCAAAAUAUGGGAAUGCAACUAUUUUCUUAAUUGGUUGCAGUAUGAUUUUCACAGAACUGAAUUGGAAAGAGCAAGAAACAACUUUCCUUUUAAGUUAUGAACAAACAGAUUAACAUAAGGCAAAAAUCAUGAACACAGGGAAAACUGUCAACUAGAAUUUGAGGAAUAACUAGCAAAACAUAUGCUCAUAUCUGUGAAACUUGAUAAAUGAAAAUUAUCAGAUGCUUAUCUGGAAAGGCAUUAAGAAUUAACUACACACACGACAUACAAAAAUUGGAGACUAGCUUUCAGAAGAAGAGAUAAAUGAUGAUAAGUAUAUCAUAGUAUGGAAAAUCAUAUACCUUCCAUAUUUGAUAAAUUUCGACAUUGUGAUCAGAAAAUUCAUCUUCUUGUUUGUGGCAGGACUCCUCUAAAAUCCUAAGCAUCAGUCGCUGCAAUUUGACAACAAUUUAAAUUGUGGAGGACAUAGGAAAUAUCAUAAAAAUUUAAAUGAUAUAUUGAAUUUCAACGUAGUUAUUAUUGCUGUGAAAGAUUACACCAUGUUUGAUUUCGUAGAAAGUGCUAUAAUGGCUAUUCUACUCCAACAAAAGGUCAGCUUGCUACUGUCAAUAGGUUGGCUAUUUCAAUAAUAAGUAAUGCCACAAGAAUCUGAUAAGUCAUGCUACAUAAAGAUAUCCAAGUUCCUAUCCAAAAUAUCCUCAAACCAACAACAUAUGUAGGCUGCAACUGUCUGAUAAAAGACAGCAGCUUUAUUACAACCUCAUUGUCCCUUUUUUUAAUUUAUUUUUAUUUUUAUUUUUAUCUUGCUCUACAUAAUUCAAUUUAAGAUGAGAACUCACUGCACAAUAAUGAAACCAAUAAUUGUCAGCAACAUGUAACCCAGCCCAAAAUUUGUUGAAAGCAGCACCUGAAGGCACAAAAUUUGGUUUAUAUAAUUCAGAAGAACCAUCAAGAUCUUAAAAAUCAUAUUUUUCUAUAUUAAUAAGAACCUAAUCAAAGGGAAACUGAUCAAAACCAGAAAGAAAAAGUCAAGACAGUUUUUCUAGAGUGAUAGUUUGAGAGUAAAAGGUAACAUAAACUUAUACAAAAACUGCCUUCAUCAUGAUUUUGUUAAUAGGGUUUUUCUAAAGGGGGAAACACUCUAUACCAUGGCACUCUAAAAGCAUUCAUACAAGUGAAUGACCUUACAAAGUACAAACUAACCUGUUCUCUUGUCAUGUAACCAACCAGCAGCAAUGAUUCCAUGCUCUGUAGUCUGUAGUUCAUUUGGAUCUCCGCAAAAAAGUGAACAUCACAUUAAUACCACUUUCUCCAUGGCAUCAUUUUAAUAUAGAGAAUGCAUCCAAAAACUGAGCAGUACAGAAAACCUACUCAAGAGAAACGUCAACUUGUACACUUAUAUAUCCCCUUUUAUGGCCAUUGUAGACUUCCACUGGAAGAUAUGCUCAUAAAAUUUGUUUGUAUAACCACUAUCAUUGAAAGUCUGCAGUUAUUUAGCCUAUUGGUGAUGUCCUAGCAAAGGGUGCUGUAACAUGAACAAAAAAUGCAACUGAUAUAAGAAUAUAAUAUUAACUAAAACUAUGAAAAGUUUUUUAAUCUUCAUUAAUUAAUAGUUCAAUUCCUGAACUGAAUUUACAUCUCAGCUAAUUUUUUCCACUAGCUCAGAUUCUUUCCCUGCAGUCUGUUGAUAGCUGACAUUUUCCAGUAAUCAUCUUGAUCAACCACCGCCUGUCAACAUGCAGAUGCAGUGCCAAAAUCACAGCUUAGCAACCAAAGCGCCUUGCUAUGCUUCAUGACCUCACUUUCAAGAGAUGAAUACCUACGCGUAUCAAUCUCAUCACCAGAUGCACCAGGCAAAUUCUCAAGACUCUUAUAUUGUCUGCCUCCAUGAAUGCAUAUAAGCACGAUAUUUGCUUAUAUCAGAGGAUCGAACUCCAAAAUGAGCUCGAAUUCAUUCAUCAAAUCAAAACCAUUUCCUUUCGAAAUCGAAUCACCAUCGCUUAUCUUCGGUUCUCGCUGCCACGAAAAAGAUUGAUCUUCCGCACUUCACAGUUCUGUUCGGUUGGCACGAAAUAGCAGGGAAGGACGAAUACCAGGCAUUUUGUAAUUACAGUUUGGUCCCUGUGGUUAGUCGGAAUAGCUAAAAAUACCCAUCGACUCUUUUUUUCUCCCAAAAAGAGCAGCCACUGGGCACGUGUAAAACACGUGCGUUUCGAGCCAUCACCAGAACCGCGAAUAUGAGACAGGGACAGGUGGAGAUUACAGUAUCAUGAUGGACAGAAGAAAGGACUAAAGAAGGAAAAUUGAAGGGACAGAACAAAAACCAUGAAGCUGUUUUCGUUGUUUUAACAAAGCACUUUUUUAGUCUCUUUUUC
rnacentral:misc_RNA from 1 species